ACAAACUUGGUCAUUUAGAGGAAGUAAAAGUCGUAACAAGGUUUCCGUAGGUGAACCUGCGGAAGGAUCAUUAUUGAAUAAAUAUAGUGGGUUGUAGCUGGCCUCUAGGGGCAUGUGCACGCCUGCUGUCUUUAUCCAUCCACCUGUGCACCUUUGUAGUCUUGGGGAAUGAAAGCAGACUGCUAUAUUGACAAUAUUGGUCAGAUGUGAGGGGUGCCCAAGGGCUCCUCCUCAAUGGUCUGUAAUCAUAUCACAAGUCUAUGUCUUUUCCAUAUACCCUAUUGUAUGUUGUAGAAUGCAGUUAAAGGGCUUUAUUGCCCAUAAACCUUAUACAACUUUCAGCAACGGAUCUCUUGGCUCUCGCAUCGAUGAAGAACGCAGC
rnacentral:misc_RNA from 1 species